UUUUGAACCCUUCUGUUAUUGUUGCAGAUGUCCCGUGGCCACGGCGCCAGCCUUGCCUUAGGACUGGUUGUAUUGACAUGGCAUGCUAUGACGACAACACAUGCUGCAGACCUCUUGCAAACGUAUUGUCCGAGCACUUGUUCAUGGAUUGCUAGUCGAGCACAACCCAUUUAUGGCACGCACCAAGCAGCAGUGCAGGAUUGCCAGCGCCUGGCGCCUGUUUCUGCCACCGCUUCUGACAUUUUAAGUCUUCCCACGCUAUACACCGGGUGCGCCCAGACGCAUGUUGGAAAAAUGAGGACAGCUAUCCGACCACCUCUUUGGGUGAAGAGUUUGCCAAAGGGUAUCAGUAGAAUGGCAUCGGACGAAAAGUGGUAUGGCAACAACUCGAGCUUUUCCUACUUCUGCGAAUUUCGGAAGCCGUGCAAGACCUGUCCAGCCACUCAGUAUUUUCCCAAACUGAACGAGGGAGAAACGUCGCCAGUGAUUUGUCCCCAAGGUGAACUACCUUACGGCGGUACGACAUCAACCUGUCGGGAUGGAACACACCAUGUAACCGGUCUUGCAUACUGUAGAAGUGAGUACUUGGAACUGACCAAGCACGUUCUCUGAUAAGAAGUACUCGUGAACGGUUAAGAUGCAAAACACGCCGCGGUCUACUUCAUCAUUUUUCAGAUAUUGACCAAACAUUUGCGAAAAAACGAAUCGCCCUCCUAGUUCCUUCGUCAGCUGGCCCAACUAGGUUGCACUCCACCAUGGGUCUGCGCCAGCCGCCAGUUUCCACCAGGUUCGGCAAGGGUUGCCUCGCGUUCCGGGCCGCCCAGCUGUGGAACACCUUACCCAGCGAUAUACGUGCCAUCUCCACGCUCCGCCAGUUCCGCGCCAGCAAGAUCCCGCACACCCUUAGUACCUAGAGUACCAAACGUCCUGUUUGAUGAUCAUCUAUCUGGUUUAGUUUUUCUCCACCUCUAUCCUAAUUACAUCAGUCCCCAAUUUCAUUUAUUACCGCUUUCUAUCUGCAUUCGCCACCUUUUCAUUGGGCAGAUUUGCCCGUUUGGUUUGCGAAUUAAAAUACACACAACAACAAGAACAACAGCAACAAUCAU